GCGUUGGUGGUAUAGUGGUGAGCAUAGCUGCCUUCCAAGCAGUUGACCCGGGUUUUUUUUAACUCUUAAUGCA
rnacentral:tRNA from 1 species